rnacentral:rRNA from 1 species
UACAGAGGGUGCGAGCGUUAAUCGGAAUUACUGGGCGUAAAGCGCGCGUAGGCGGCUUUGCAAGUCGGGUGUGAAAUCCCCAGGCUUAACCUGGGAACUGCAUUCGAGACUGCAUUGCUAGAGUAUGGGAGAGGGAAGUGGAAUUUCCGGUGUAGCGGUGAAAUGCGUAGAUAUCUGGAGGAACACCGGUGGCGAAGGCGGCAUCCUGGACCAACACUGACACUGAUGAGCGAAAGCCAGGGGAGCAAACGGG